UACGUAGGGGGCAAGCGUUGUCCGGAUUUAUUGGGCGUAAAGAGCGUGUAGGCGGCCAGGUAGGUCAGCUGUGAAAACUCGAGGCUCAACCUCGAGACGCCGGUUGAAACCAUCUGGCUAGAGUCCGGAAGAGGAGAGUGGAAUUCCUGGUGUAGCGGUGAAAUGCGCAGACAUCAGGAAGAACACCCGUGGCUAAGGCGGCUCUCUAGUACGGUACUGACGCUGAGACGCGAAAGCGUGGGGAGCGAACAGG
rnacentral:rRNA from 1 species